GACGUCAAAGCGUAUACAAAGUCGAGUCGGUUUAAGGAUACGUUCGUUGGGUAGGGGAGCGUUCUGUAAGCCUGUGAAGGUGGCCUGUGAGGGUUGCUGGAGGUAUCAGAAGUGCGAAUGCUGACAUAAGUAACGAUAAAGCGGGUGAAAAGCCCGCUCGCCGGAAGACCAAGGGUUCCUGUCCAACGUUAAUCGGGGCAGGGUGAGUCGACCCCUAAGGCGAGGCCGAAAGGCGUAGUCGAUGGGAAACGGGUUAAUAUUCCCGUACUUGGUGUUACUGCGAAGGGGGGACGGAGAAGGCUAUGUUGGCCGGGCGACGGUUGUCCCGGUUUAAGCGUGUAGGCUGGUUUUCCAGGCAAAUCCGGAAAAUCAAGGCUGAGGCGUGAUGACGAGGCACUACGGUGCUGAAGCAACAAAUGCCCUGCUUCCAGGAAAAGCCUCUAAGCAUCAGGUAACAUCAAAUCGUACCCCAAACCGACACAGGUGGUCAGGUAGAGAAUACCAAGGCGCUUGAGAGAACUCGGGUGAAGGAACUAGGCAAAAUGGUGCCGUAACUUCGGGAGAAGGCACGCUGACACGUAGGUGAAGUGAUUUACUCAUGGAGCUGAAGUCAGUCGAAGAUACCAGCUGGCUGCAACUGUUUAUUAAAAACACAGCACUGUGCAAACACGAAAGUGGACGUAUACGGUGUGACGCCUGCCCGGUGCCGGAAGGUUAAUUGAUGGGGUCAGCGCAAGCGAAGCUCCUGAUCGAAGCCCCGGUAAACGGCGGCCGUAACUAUAACGGUCCUAAGGUAGCGAAAUUCCUUGUCGGGUAAGUUCCGACCUGCACGAAUGGCGUAAUGAUGGCCAGGCUGUCUCCACCCGAGACUCAGUGAAAUUGAACUCGCUGUGAAGAUGCAGUGUACCCGCGGCAAGACGGAAAGACCCCGUGAACCUUUACUAUAGCUUGACACUGAACAUUGAGCCUUGAUGUGUAGGAUAGGUGGGAGGCUUUGAAGUGUGGACGCCAGUCUGCAUGGAGCCGACCUUGAAAUACCACCCUUUAAUGUUUGAUGUUCUAACGUGGACCCGUAAUCCGGGUUGCGGACAGUGUCUGGUGGGUAGUUUGACUGGGGCGGUCUCCUCCUAAAGAGUAACGGAGGAGCACGAAGGUUGGCUAAUCCUGGUCGGACAUCAGGAGGUUAGUGCAAUGGCAUAAGCCAGCUUGACUGCGAGCGUGACGGCGCGAGCAGGUGCGAAAGCAGGUCAUAGUGAUCCGGUGGUUCUGAAUGGAAGGGCCAUCGCUCAACGGAUAAAAGGUACUCCGGGGAUAACAGGCUGAUACCGCCCAAGAGUUCAUAUCGACGGCGGUGUUUGGCACCUCGAUGUCGGCUCAUCACAUCCUGGGGCUGAAGUAGGUCCCAAGGGUAUGGCUGUUCGCCAUUUAAAGUGGUACGCGAGCUGGGUUUAGAACGUCGUGAGACAGUUCGGUCCCUAUCUGCCGUGGGCGCUGGAGAACUGAGGGGGGCUGCUCCUAGUACGAGAGGACCGGAGUGGACGCAUCACUGGUGUUCGGGUUGUCAUGCCAAUGGCACUGCCCGGUAGCUAAAUGCGGAAGAGAUAAGUGCUGAAAGCAUCUAAGCACGAAACUUGCCCCGAG
rnacentral:rRNA from 1 species